ACGAACGCUGGCGGCGUGCUUCACACAUGCAAGUCGCACGGAAAGGCCCUGCUUUUGUGGGGUGCUCGAGUGGCGAACGGGUGAGUAACACGUGAGUAACCUGCCCUUGACUUUGGGAUAACUUCAGGAAACUGGGGCUAAUACCGGAUAGGAGCUCCUGCUGCAUGGUGGGGGUUGGAAAGUUUCGGCGGUUGGGGAUGGACUCGCGGCUUAUCAGCUUGUUGGUGGGGUAGUGGCUUACCAAGGCUUUGACGGGUAGCCGGCCUGAGAGGGUGACCGGCCACAUUGGGACUGAGAUACGGCCCAGACUCCUACGGGAGGCAGCAGUGGGGAAUAUUGCACAAUGGGCGGAAGCCUGAUGCAGCAACGCCGCGUGCGGGAUGACGGCCUUCGGGUUGUAACCCGCUUUCGCCUGUGACGAAGCGUGAGUGACGGUAAUGGGUAAAGAAGCACCGGCUAACUACGUG
rnacentral:rRNA from 1 species